rnacentral:rRNA from 1 species
AUUGAACGCUGGCGGCAGGCCUAACACAUGCAAGUCGAGCGGUAGCACAGAGAGCUUGCUCUCGGGUGACGAGCGGCGGACGGGUGAGUAAUGUCUGGGAAACUGCCUGAUGGAGGGGGCUAACUACUGGAAACGGUAGCUAAUACCGCAUAACGUCGCAAGACCAACGUGGGGGACCUUCGGGCCACAUGGCAUCAGAUGUGCCCAGAUGGGAUUAGCUGGUAGGUGGGGUAACGGCUCACCUAGGCGACGAUCCGUAGCUGGUCUGAGAGGAUGACCAGCCACACUGGAACUGAGACACGGUCCAGACUCCUACGGGAGGCAGCAGUGGGGAAUAUUGCACAAUGGGCGCAAGCCUGAUGCAGCCAUGCCGCGUGUGUGAAGAAGGCCUUCGGGUUGUAAAGCACUUUCAGCGGGGAGGAAGGCAUUAAGGUUAAUAACCUUAGUGAUUGACGUUACCCGCAGAAGAAGCACCGGCUAACUCCGUGCCAGCAGCCGCAGUAA